CAGAUAAUGACACAUCAAUUAAAAUGAAUACACAAUCAAAUUAAAACAAUUAAUACACGUGACUAUAGAUUUUCCAUCGAAGGAAUAAAAGUACUUUUCCGAUUUGCGACUUUGCUGUUCAUCCCAUGGCUCUCUCUACGAAUCUGAGCAGACAUGACGUUGAUGUUAGCCCCAUCGUUGGUCGAUCGGUUGUGGUGGAUUGCUUCUUUUUGUCCACCAUCAUUACCAACGAUGAUGGAUUACCAGUUACAGCUUCGUAGUGGUUACAAUUUCUUCUAGCUUGCAGUUUGGUUUUGUGAAGCUGGUCCUAAAACAGUGGUAUGGAUUUUAACUCGGCGAUUGAGAGCAUUGCAUGUCUUGUAGAGGAUCCGGUGUUGUGGAAGCUACAAAGACAGUUGAACUUGUGAUCCCUGGGGUUUGGUUUGAAAUCUUCAUGCUUUUUCUAUCAUUAACAUGGUUUUUGAUUCUAAAACAUAUCAGUUCUGCUAUGAAAUGGGUUGCAAAAUUUCAUUCACACUGUUUACGUUCCUUUCUCUGAAAAUUUGUGAUUAAAAUGAUAUUGGUCACAUUUAUUGUAUGGCUGUCUUGUACUUUUAUUAUGGUUGGCAAUGUGCAUUUCCUGGUUAAUUUUCUUUUGUCUGCACCUGGUAUUUGCGGCAAAUACUAAACAAAAAAUUUAGAAAUGUGAUUUCCCGAGUAUAAUAAAUGAUUUUGCGGGACUAGAUAAUGAUAAUUUGGUU